rnacentral:lncRNA from 1 species
AGGCCACUGCGGCCGUCCUCUUGCGAACCCUCCGGCCGGCACGCUCAGCUGGGAGGUCAGGCAGGGCCCUCCGCGGUCCGACCCCGACGCGCGGCCAGGCACCUGCAGGCAGAGGCACCCGCGCGACCCGGUUACAAUAAACACAAACAGAAGCCGGUUUCCCAGCGUCCCCUGCGGCCGCCCCCGGCCCGUGUCCUCCGGCUCGCCCUCCCCCCGCCCGCCCCCCGGGUCGCCCCCCGGCCUCUCCCACCACCGGGCCGGCGCCGGGAGGACGGCCCAGCAGCACCCCGCCGCCCGCUCCCGCCUCACCGCGCGGAGGGCGGCCGCCGCGGACGCAGGGAGCGCUCUCAGCAGCCUCGACGCCAUGGCUCCGCGCUCGGCACCGGCUCAAGGACCCGAGGGGACGCGGGCGCGACGGGGGCCUCUUCCGCCGCCGGCGCGCCGCGUGACGUCACGGACGGGGUGCCCGCGGCGCCUGCCGGGAGCUGCCGCGGGGGGCGGGGCGGCGCAUGCGCCCAGAGCGGGUCCCGCCGCCCGACCCGGCCCCGGGGCUGCGACCGAGAGCGCGUCUGCGCGGGAUCGGGGGUGCGGGGCGCGGAGCCGAGGCCGCCCCCCUGCGUCCCCUGGGCUGCCGGUGCGCAGCUGAACAUCCGCCCCAGGGCGCAGGGCAGGGCUCCCCGACCCCAUCCUCCCGGCCGGGACGGGGGCCCGGGGUGCACGCGGGCCUCGCCGCCCCAGGGCGCAGGGCAGGGCUCCCCCACCCUGACCCCAUCCUCCCGGCCGGGACGGGGGCCCGGGGUGCACGCGGACCUCGCCGCCCCAGGGCGCAGGGCAGGGCUCCCCGACCCCGACCCCAUCCUCCAGGCCGGGAUGGGGGCCCGGGGUGCACGCGGACCUCGCUGCCCCAGGGCGCAGGGCAGGGCUCCCCGACCCCAUCCUCCCGGCCGGGAUGGGGGCCCAGGUGUGCACGCGGACCUCGCCGCCCCAGGGCGCAGGGCAGGGCUCCCCCACCCUGACCCCAUCCUCCCGGCCGGGACGGGGGCCCGGGGUGCACGCGGACCUCGCCGCCCCAGGGCGCAGGGCAGGGCUCCCCGACCCCGACCCCAUCCUCCAGGCCGGGAUGGGGGCCCGGGGUGGACACGGACCUCUCGGCCCAGAGCACAUGCAGGACAGGGCUCCCCGCCGCAUGUCCGUCCUCCCGGCCGGGAUGGGGGGCCUCGGGCCCGCGGCGCCCCUACCUCCUCGGACAGCAUCGCCCCCGACCCCGCGAGCCCUGAGCGCUCCCCGGAACUGCGCCCUCCCAGGGGUCGCUCAGCAGGGUCUCUCCUCUGGCCGCUGCUCUGA